GAUGAACGCUGGCGGCAUGCCUAACACAUGCAAGUCGAUCGGUAAGGCUCUUCGGAGUACACGAGAGGCGGACGGCUGAGUAACGCGUAGGAACACACCCUGCAGUGAGGGAUAAGACACCGAAAGGUGUUCUAAUACCGCAUACGGUCUUCGGAUUAAAGCAUUUAUGCGCUGAAGGAGUGGCCUGCGUCAUAUUAGAUAGUUGGUGAGGUAAUGGCUCACCAAGUCGAUGAUGUGUAGCUGGUCUGAGAGGAUGAUCAGCCAGACUGGAACUGAGACACGGUCCAGACUCCUAGGGGAGGCAGCAGUGAGGAAUAUUUCACAAUGAGCGAAAGCUUGAUGGAGCAAUGCCGCGUGCAGGAUGAAGGCCCUCGGGUUGUAAACUGCUUUUAUAAGAGAAGAUUAUGACGGUAACUUAUGAAUAAGGGACGGCUAACUACGUG
rnacentral:rRNA from 1 species